UCCCUGAUGGUCCAAUGGCUAAGACCUCCCACUCCUAAUGCAGGGGCCCCAGGUUCGAUCCCUGGUCAGGGAA
rnacentral:tRNA from 1 species